AUCAUGGAAUCAUUCAGCUUGGAAAAGACCUGCUGGAUCCCCAAGCCCAGCCACCAACCCACUCCCCCCACGUCCUCAGGUGCCACAACCACACCGAGCAACCUCUGUGUGAUCCGAGGAGGAGCCCAGGAGGGAAAUGAAACCUCCCUGCAACCUGCCUUGUUUCCACCCCGUCGAGCAUCAUCUCGAAAAGCUGAUUCAGUGUCUCCCACAACUCUGCUCUGGCCUCGGAUUCCUGUGACUCCCGUGACGUGGAUUUGAUGAGCUCAGAGGCCACUUCUCCCCUCGGACAUCCCUGAUCCUCUGACAUUUAAACAACAGGCAAAUCAUCCCACGGCUUCAGCCCCGGAGAGCUGGAGCUGGGCCAGUCACAAUAUUACCCUGCUCUUUCCACUGACGUGGGGAGGACGGGCUGUGCUCCUCCAAGGAGGGGCUGAGGGCUGAAAACUGGGCUGCAGCUUCAGGCAGAGGCUGCUUGAGCUCCAGCUUCUGGCUGGUGGUCACUAGAGGAGCACCAGCAGCACCAGCCACUUGCUCCCUGAUGCCCCAAAAUGCCACAGAUGUUGGAGACAGACUCCAGAGAUCCAGUUCCUCGUGGAAUGGGUGGUGAUUCAGCCACAGCUCACCCAGCUCUGAGCUAAACCUGGUCCCUGG